rnacentral:rRNA from 1 species
UACAGAGGUCUCAAGCGUUGUUCGGAUUCAUUGGGCGUAAAGGGUGCGUAGGCGGCGCGGUAAGUCGGGUGUGAAAUCUCGGAGCUUAACUCCGAAACUGCAUUCGAUACUGCCGUGCUUGAGGACUGGAGAGGAGACUGGAAUUUACGGUGUAGCGGUGAAAUGCGUAGAUAUCGUAAGGAAGACCAGUGGCGAAGGCGGGUCUCUGGACAGUUCCUGACGCUGAUGCGCGAAGGUCAGGGGAGCAAACGGG